rnacentral:rRNA from 1 species
UCAGUCGACUCCUACGGGGAGGCAGCAGUGGGGAAUAUUGCACAAUGGGGGAAACCCUGAUGCAGCCAUGCCGCGUGUGUGAAGAAGGCCUUCGGGUUGUAAAGCACUUUCAGUAGGGAGGAAGGUAGUGUAGUUAACACCUGCACUAUUUGACGUUACCUACAGAAGAAGCACCGGCUAACUCCGUGCCAGCAGCCGCGGUAAUACGGAAGGUGCGAGCGUUAAUCGGAAUUACUGGGCGUAAAGCGCAUGCAGGCGGCCUGUUAAGUCAGAUGUGAAAGCCCGGGGCUUAACCUCGGAAUUGCAUUUGAAACUGGCAGGCUAGAGUCUUGUAGAGGGGGGUAGGAAUUUCAGGUGUAGCGGUGAAAUGCGUAGAGAUCUGAAGGAAUACCAGUGGCGAAGGCGGCCCCCUGGACAAAGACUGACGCUCAGAUGCGAAAGCGUGGGGAGCAAACAGGAUUAGAUACCCUGGUAG